GGAGAAGGUCGUUUGUGCCUCCUUUUGGACACAGCAGUACUAUUUCAUCGUCUCUGGACAGGUGGUAAUUUGUUGGGUUGGCGAUAUUUGCUAGCUUUGAUCACCGAUGACUUCUAUGUGGUUCUUUUUGCCUGCAUUUUAACCUUCACAUUCCUUUUUCCUUUUCCUGGCUUUCUCCGCCCCCAUUUUUCUCUUUUUCUCCACUCUUAUUUUAAUUUUUUGUCCGCAAACACCGCCACCCAUCCUCGGCCGCAUAUUUUUU
rnacentral:misc_RNA from 1 species